UCCCUGGUGGCUCAGUGGUAAAGAAUCUGCCUGCCAAUGCAGGAGACACAGCUUUGACUCCUGUUCUGGGAA
rnacentral:tRNA from 1 species